CUCAUCACCCUGUGACAUACCUAAAACGUUGCUUCGGCGGGAACAGACGGCCCUGUAACAACGGGCCGCCCCCGCCAGAGGACCCCUAACUCUGUUUUUAUAAUGUUUUUCUGAGUAAACAAGCAAAUAAAUUAAAACUUUCAACAACGGAUCUCUUGGCUCUGGCAUCGAUGAAGAACGCAGCGAAAUGCGAUAAGUAAUGUGAAUUGCAGAAUUCAGUGAAUCAUCGAAUCUUUGAACGCACAUUGCGCCCGCCAGUAUUCUGGCGGGCAUGCCUGUUCGAGCGUCAUUACAACCCUCAGGCCCCCGGGCCUGGCGUUGGGGAUCGGCGGAAGCCCCCUGUGGGCACACGCCGUCCCUCAAAUACAGUGGCGGUCCCGCCGCAGCUUCCAUUGCGUAGUAGCUAACACCUCGCAACUGGAGAGCGGCGCGGCCAUGCCGUAAAACACCCAACUUCUGAAUGUUGACCUCGAAUCAGGUAGGAAUACCCGCUGAACUUAAGCAUAUCAAUAAGCGGGGGA
rnacentral:rRNA from 1 species